rnacentral:rRNA from 1 species
UACGUAGGGUGCGAGCGUUGCCCGGAAUUAUUGGGCGUAAAGAGCUUGUAGGCGGUUUGUCGCGUCUGCUGUGAAAAUCCGGGGCUCAACCCCGGACUUGCAGUGGGUACGGGCAGACUAGAGUGUGGUAGGGGAGACUGGAAUUCCUGGUGUAGCGGUGAAAUGCGCAGAUAUCAGGAGGAACACCGAUGGCGAAGGCAGGUCUCUGGGCCGACUACUGACGCUGAGAAGCGAAAGCGUGGGGAGCGAACAGG